AAAAACAAAACCUUGAGCCACUUAGGCUCAAGGCUUCCUUCCAUGCACCGCAAUGGCGCUGAAGGCAAAGGGAGAGGAGAAACCGGAGGAAGAACUUAUGGGGAAACGUAAGUCUUCUCCGCGG
rfam:Bacillus subterraneus strain MITOT1 contig_146, whole genome shotgun sequence.